GGCGGACGGGUGAGUAACGCGUAGGAAUCUACCCAGUAGUGGGGGACAACUCGGGGAAACCCGAGCUAAUACCGCACACGCCCUAAGGGGGAAAGCAGGGGAUCUUCGGACCUUGCGCUAUCGGAUGAGCCUGCGUCGGAUUAGCUUGUUGGUGAGGUAAUGGCUCACCAAGGCGACGAUCCGUAGCUGGUCUGAGAGGAUGAUCAGCCACACUGGGACUGAGACACGGCCCAGACUCCUACGGGAGGCAGCAGUGGGGAAUAUUGGACAAUGGGGGAAACCCUGAUCCAGCCAUGCCGCGUGUGUGAAGAAGGCUCUAGGGUUGUAAAGCACUUUCAGUAGGGAGGAAAAGUUGAUAGCUAAUAACUGUCAGCCCUGACGUUACCUACAGAAGAAGCACCGGCAAACUCCGUGCCAGCAGCCGCGGUAAUACGGAGGGUGCGAGCGUUAAUCGGAAUUACUGGGCGUAAAG
rnacentral:rRNA from 2 species